rnacentral:rRNA from 1 species
UCCGUAGGUGAACCUGCGGAAGGAUCAUUAAAAAAAGAGAAACGCCCCGUUUUUUUUCAUAAGAAUGGGUUCUAUUCCCUUAAACCGUGUCUACAUACCUUUGUUGCUUUGGCAGGCCGCCUUCGGGCGUCGGCUCCGGCUGAUAGUGCCUGCCAGAGGACCCAAACUCUAUGUUUAGUGAUGUCUGAGUACUAUAUAAUAUUUAAAACUUUCAACAACGGAUCUCUUGGUUCUGGCAUCGAUGAAGAACGCAGCGAAAUGCGAUAAGUAAUGUGAAUUGCAGAAUUCAGUGAAUCAUCGAAUCUUUGAACGCACAUUGCGCCCCUUGGUAUUCCGAGGGGCAUGCCUGUUCGAGCGUCAUUAUAACCACUCAAGCCUGGCUUGGUAUUGGGGUCUUCGCGUGCUCGCGGCCCUUAAAAUCAGUGGCGGUGCCGUCUGGCUCUAAGCGUAGUAAUUUCUCUCGCUAUAGGGUUCCGGUGGUUACUUGCCAAAACCCCCCAUUUUUUCUAGGUUGACCUCGGAUCAGGUAGGGAUACCCGCUGAACUUAA